rnacentral:lncRNA from 1 species
UGGGUAUUCUAGUAAAGAGUGUGGAUCUCAACGCUCUAAUACGAAAUCUUCAUCACCAUCAGUGACUAGCGUUGGAAGUGUGAGAAACAUAAAGCCAAAUUGUAGAUAUUUCAACAAAUUUCAUCAUGGAGAAUGCUAUAUGAAGACUGGUGCGUGUUACAAAUGUGGCUCUUUUGAUCAUUUUCUAAGAGAUUAUCCUGAAAUAGUUGAAAGUUAUGUUGAAUAGACUUCAAAACCAAGUAACACUUGUAAUAGGCCCAUUUCACCCGGGCCCAUAAUUUUUUUAAAAAAUAAAAGCAAAAUUAAUUAAUUAAAAGUCCAAGUUUUUUUUACAAGAAUAAAAGCCCAAAGCAAGAUCCCUAACCCAAAGUCUCAUUACACCCAAACCUUUUAACCUAACCCAAUUUAAAAGUCGCCCAAGUAAGCCCAAAAUCGGGAAGGCACCAGAAACCCUAGAAGUUUCUGGAAUACCAGUGCCGCAGCUAGCCAGAAACGGGCUCCCACGAAUGGCCACUCCUCGUGCGACUUCCGUACACUUCCACAUCAGCAGAACCUGCGAGAAGAAAGAAAAUAGCAAUAACCGAAUCCAAUAGAUUGUAUAGCUGGAAAAGAAAAUAAUUUUGGAAUUUCUUUGUCAUUAGAUUUGGCUAUAAAAAGCCAUCAUAUGUACUGUAAAAGGGGAUGGAAUAGAGGUACAUUGAAAAAAGCAUAUUGAAAAGAAGAAUUCAAAAGCCUUUUUUAAAGGUGGUUUUUUAUUUUCUAGUUGCUUUAGUUUUCUGUUGAAUCUUCUCACUUUCUUUUUCAAUCUUUCGUUAUUGUAUUUAAAAGCAAAUGAAAAAGGAAAAAGGGGAUUAUACCUUAUGAUUUGGCCGUGGGUUCACUCUUGCUUCGUCAAAAUCGAAGUUUAAGGGGAUCUUGAGGCUAAAAAAAACAUCCUUCAAGGCUUGAAUGAACCGAUCGCUGUUCAUGGAGGUUGAUUGGAGUUUGAAUGAAGGGAUUUUGGGAACGGUUGAGGAAGAACCAAAGGGACUAGGGUUUAGAUUCGAUUGAGUGUAAGAGAGAUAGGAGGCUUAGGUUUUUUUUUUGUUUUGAUUUUAUUCAAGGGAAUUGGGGAGUAUACGAAACGGCGUCGUGUAUAGGGGAGGGUAGAUCCACGCGCAAGCCCGAUCCACAGGCUGGAUCCGUGCCUUGGCCUUUCGGAUGGUCAAAUUCGCGACUAACCCUUCGUCUUCACGCAGACCUUCAAAUUGAUCCUUAUUUAUGCUUUAUUUCUUUUUAAAUUUGUCAUAUAAUUUAUAUGUUUUUGCAAUGCAGUCCACGCUUAAACGUUAUGAUUUGGGAUAUGGAAUAUUUUCAAUUUUAAUCCCUGAACAUUCGCGUAUAUUUCGCUUUAGUCAUUAUUUC